rnacentral:sRNA from 1 species
UAGAGGUUAACCGUGAUCACGAAGGCGGUUCCUCCGGAGUGAGGCUUGGCCAUUGCACAUUCGGUCGAGUUGACCUCUGCGAUUAUUCCUAAUGUGAAUAACUCGUGCGUGUAAUUUUUGGUAGCCGGGAAUGGCGUUCGCGCCGUCCCGACAUUUAUAAUACAUAUUGGAAUACGUAAACUUGAUGUGUGCAGUGUGACCAGCUUGCACUAAUAUCGAUAUUAUAAUUUUAUCGAUACCAUGGUAUACCGAUACCAUUUCAUUUUAUCGAUACCAUCGGGACAUGGUCAACACUGUAACUGCGGCAAUCGCUGCAGCCCUGGUUAUAUUGCGCGCGAAUAUUCAAAAAUCGAUGGAGGGCUGAAAUACUUAUCUGGACAAAUUUUGCUACCCUGUGAAAAUGAUAUAUGGAUGACGUUAUUGAUGCAUUCGGAAAUGGCUAUUAAUAAGGAAAGUACCAAUAUAGCCAUGGAUCGAGCUACUAUAUCAUAUUGAUACAGCUGCCAAAGGAACGGCCGCGAAAAGAAGUUACCAUAAGGAACUUUUUAAAAAUAAAAUAAAUUAAGCUCAGAGGAUAAAAUUCGACGGAUGCUUUCCAGCCAAAUUGGAUCUGCGAGGAAAAGAAGAAUCUACUAAACUGAAACACAAGAGAGUUAGUUUUUAUGCAAUGCACGCUUUAAUGAAAAUAUACUUGCGUUUGUAUAUUUGUAUGUGUACGCUAGA